UUUUUUUUUUUUUUUAACCCAUGAUUAAGAAGCAAAUAGUAGAAUUUUUGGAGCAAGCCACCAGGCAGUAGUCCCUGAAGACAGCCGAAGUACCUGGGCAUGAUCUCUUUCUGGGUUGCUUUUUGUAGUGUUCAGGGACCUGUUUGAAAGCUAAUGACCUGUUGCUGAGUACCAGUGUGUGUUCCAGCUAGGUAUGCUGCCUACACUGACAAAUACAGACACUCCCAGUGUGGAUGUGUAACAAAUAGCCCUGGUGCUGUAGAAAGAGAGUAUGGCAUGCCGACACCUCUGUUCUCUGUCCCUACCGUACCUGGGAGAUAACAACAAGAAGUUUUUGUUAGAGUGUGUAUUACUGUGGCAAUAACAACAAUGCCCCACGAUUUGGAGCGGGAACCAAAUUAUCAGUAAAACCAAGUAAGUAAAGGACUGAGGCUACCCCAAGACAAAGUGAGUGUGUGGCUUUGCUGUUCUGUGCAGUUUCGGUGGGUGCAUGUCACUACCUCCAAGAUCACUGUGCAUAACUCUUAUGGGCCUCUGUUAGCUAAUGAAGUCUGGCCAUUCCAAGGAUUUGGUGAAGAAGUAAUUAUCAUUACUGCUUUCUUUCUUCAUUAGCUCAGAAUAUAGAGAAGUGCUUAAAGGUGAUUUAUAAAUGUAAGACUCAUGUUUGUGUUAGAUAAUAUUAAAACCUAACAAUUCAAAAAUCAGGCUUUCCUCAGUACAUAGACACACAUACACACUCACUCACACACACACAUACUCACACACUGGCACAAUCACACACACACUCACACACUAUCACAAUCACACACACACACACACUCACACACUAGCACAAUUACACACACACUAACACAACCACACACACAUUCUCUCUCUCUCUCUCUCUCUCUCUCUCUCUCUCUCUCUCUCUCUCUCUCUCUCUCCCUCGGCAAUGCAACUGCAUCUGGUUUCCUUCACGCAAUGGUUGCUGUGUUUGCCUUACUUGAGACAUGCAGUCAUAUCAGUUGGUUAGUUGGUUGGGUUUUUGCUACUGUUAAUUCUCUGUGAAAACCUUGCCUGUGAAGGAAGCAUGGUGCUACCAGCCCUAAAGUUGCCACUAUAGUAAUCACAUAUACACUUGACCUUUCUAUUAUUUCAUAAGUCUUAAGCUAGCGCAGCUCAUCAGAAUUCAAUGUUGGGGCAACAAAACUAGUGGUUUCUGAUCAAGCUCAGAGUAGCUUCACAGCCAGCUGUUAGUUUUGAGAGGAUGCUCUAAGCCUUCCCAGACUCUGGGGACUAAGGCUGCAAGGAGGAAGGCUUCCACUAGAGGGGAAGAUGAUGUCGCUUUUCUUGGUCUGCCUCUCGGUCCUUCCUGCCUGCUGGUUAUUGUAAGGCCCCAAAUGACUGUGAAUUCUGGAGGAAGCAAUGCAAAGCUAACCUUCGGGAAAGGCACUAAACUCUCUGUUAAAUCAAGUAAGUGUUAAAGAUUCCAAAGGCUCGACCAGACUAGGUAACUGAUAUAUAGCAUACAGGGUAUUAUUAUACAGGGAGGUAUUCCCCCAUCUCACUUCACCCACAAACCUUACAAAACUGCCUUUCAACUCCAUGUGAGGGUCUCAGUCCAGGCUAGCCCUUCCCUGUGCUAGGUGUAAGCAGACUCUGGACUCUAUAACUUUAGUGAGCCCUGCUUCUCAGGACAGUACUUCCUCGGGAGUAAGGGUCCACCACACUGUGGGGGCCCCGUGACUGUUUGAGCAAUGUUCUUGUGGAAGAGGAUCCUACAUGAGCCAUGAUCUGUGAGUGGGUGGCUGGAUUUUAGAUAUUAGCUUCUAGAGUUUCUAGAAGUGACCAUGGGAGGAGACAUGACUGUUGUGAUGAGGAGGUUGUUUCAAGAAGGACGCACUGUGGGUCUCAAACACUAGCUCCAUGUUGGCAGAAGCACCUCAUUAUUGGUCACACCCGGUAAGUUCUUGUGCCUAACUAAUUCUCCUUUCUGGAAAGAAAUCCACUGGGGCCUGUUGAGACACAGCUAAAUUUAAUUGCUUCGUUUAGCAUGCAGUUGUUAACUAUGUCAGAUGUGUGAGCAAGAUAUGAAUACAUGUCUCCCCGGGGGCUGGAUUUGGUUAUCAGGUCUAUGGGCAGUUUGAUGAAUUGUACUAAUGCUGCAAUCAGUGUUUCUCUCGAAGGUCCACAAAGCACGUUGUGGCUUUGGGGGAAAGGCAGAGAUAAGAAGAAAAGCUUUUCGAUAGAGACAGAAACAAAGGAACGGAAAGAAAGGUUGCCGAGGCAGCAGUGCGUAGCCAAGGAAGCGUGUCCUCGGCAGAUAAGUGAGAAGGAUCCAAUCGGGUUUGUGCCGUGACAUCUAGGCAGAACUGAAAAGUAAGGCGAGUGGGCUGAGGAUGGGGCGGGGGAGCACAGAGGACAGCCAGACUCCCAGGCGUCCUCAUUCUGUUCAAGUGGCCAAACCAUGGAACCUUCUCUAGACAGAGGACAGCCCCAGCUUUGUCACAUUGAUGAGCUAGUCCUUGAGCACUGCUCUUCAUCCCAGGGGAACAUGGCUGCUCAGUUGACGCUGUGAGAGAGACUGAGGAUUCCGGUAGCUUAGACAGCUUCCCACCUCUCCAGGAUUACCUGUGAUGAAGCAAUAGACCUAUGUAACUUGUGAGUUGUGAGUUAUCAGGGCAAGGGUUACAGAGAUAGGUGCAUGGAAGCAAUAUGGAAGAUUUGCAGGCUACCCGCCCUUCUGGGGUUUGGUUGGGUUUCUGUUCAUCGGUUUGCUUUUUUUCUGUUAGAAUUACAGAAGUCCCUUCUCCUUCCAUGCAGACAUACAGAAGUGACUGCCACUUCAUGGUUUUGUAGUAUUUCAUCAAUUAUCCUCAGUGUGUGAAACUAGAACAUAAUAGGAACCUGCAUUGAUGACAGAAGCUGUACAUUUCAGUGAGUGGCCAGUCAAAGCACCCAGAAUAAAGAGGUCUACACUUUCUCCUGCACUAUCACUGACUGUUUCCUCUUGUGAAACGACCCUCAAGAGACACAGCCUCUUCUCCCGGUAGCAACCAUGAUGGUUUUAUCC
rnacentral:lncRNA from 1 species